rnacentral:rRNA from 1 species
CGCAGCCGCGGUAAUUCCAGCUCCAAUAGCGUAUAUUAAAGUUGUUGCAGUUAAAAAGCUCGUAGUUGAAUUUCGGGGUUAGUAGGUUGGUCAUGCCUCUGGUAUGUACUGGUCUCACUGAUUCCUCCUUCCUGAUGAACCUUAAUGCCAUUAAUUUGGUGUUUUGGGGAAUUUGGACUGUUACUUUGAAAAAAUUAGAGUGUUUAAAGCAAGCUAACGCUUGAAUACAUUAGCAUGGAAUAAUGAAAUAGGACGUUCGAUCCUAUUUUGUUGAUUUCUAGGAUUGACGUAAUGAUUAAUAGGGAUAGUUGGGGGCAUUAGUAUUCAAUUGUCAGAGGUGAAAUUCUUGGAUUUAUUGAAGACUAACUACUGCGAAAGCAUUUGCCAGGAUGUUUUCAUUAAUCAAGAACGAAAGUUAGGGGAUCGAAGACGAUCAGAUACCGUCGUAGUCUUAACCAUAAACUAUGCCGACUAGGGAUCGGAUGAUGUAAUUUUUAAUGACUCAUUCGGCGCCUUACGG